rnacentral:rRNA from 1 species
AUGAAGCAACUGUGACUGAGCGGCGGACGGGUGAGUAACGCGUGGGUAACCUGCCUCAUACAGGGGGAUAACAGUUGGAAACGGCUGCUAAUACCGCAUAAGCGCACAGUACCGCAUGGUACCGUGUGAAAAACUCCGGUGGUAUGAGAUGGACCCGCGUCUGAUUAGCUAGUUGGUGGGGUAACGGCCUACCAAGGCGACGAUCAGUAGCCGACCUAGAGGGUGACCGGCCACAUUGGGACUGAGACACGGCCCAAACUCCUACGGGAGGCAGCAGUGGGGAAUAUUGCACAAUGGGGGAAACCCUGAUGCAGCGACGCCGCGUGAGGAUGAAGUAUUUCGGUAUGUAAAGCUCUAUCAGCAGGGAAGAAAAUGACGGUACCUGACUAAGAAGCCCCGGCUAACUACGUGCCAGCAGCCGCGGAAUACUAGGGGGCAAGCGUUAUCCGGAUUUACUGGGUGUAAGGGAGCGUAGACGCAUGGCAAGCCAGAUUGAAAGCCCGGGGCUCAACCCCGGGACUGCAUUUGGAACUGUCAGGCUAGAGUGUCGGAGAGGAAAGCGGAAUUCCUAGUGUAGCGGUGAAAUGCGUAGAUAUUAGGAGGAACACCAGUGGCGAAGGCGGCUUUCUGGACGAUGACUGACGUUGAGGCUCGAAAGCGUGGGGAGCAAACAGAUUAGAUACCCUGGUAGCCACGCCGUAAACGAUGAAUACUAGGUGUCGGGUGGCAAAGCCAUUCGGUGCCGCAGCAAACGCAAUAAGUAUUCCACCUGGGGAGUACGUUCGCAAGAAUGAAACUCAAAGGAAUUGCGGGGACCCGCACAAGCGGUGGAGCAUGUGGUUUAAUUCGAAGCAACGCGAAGAACCUUACCUGGUCUUGACAUCCCUCUGACCGCUCUUUAAUCGGAGCUUUCCUUCGGGACAGAGGAGACAGGUGGUGCAUGGUUGU